GGAGGAGGCGAGCGUUGUCCGGAAUCAUUGGGCGUAAAGAGCGCGUAGGCUGUUUUUCAAGUCAUUUGUGAAAACCUCAGGCUUAACUUGAGGACUGCAUAUGAAACUGGAAAACUUGAGUGCAGUAGGGGAAAGUGGAAUUCCUGGUGUAGCGGUGAAAUGCGCAGAUAUCAGGAAGAACACCGGUAGCGAAGGCGGCUUUCUGGGCUGCUACUGACGCUGAGGCGCGAAAGCUAGGGGGAGCAAACAGGAUUAGAUACCCUGGUAGUCCUAGCUGUAAACGAUGGACACUAGGUGUGGGGAGUUAUCGACGCUUUCCGUGCCGGAGCUAACGCAUUAAGUGUCCCCGCCCUGGGAGUACGGUCGCAAGACUA
rnacentral:rRNA from 1 species